AGAUGAGUAUUCAAGGACAAAGAGAAGGCAAGGACAAAGACAAGCCUAAGGAGAGCAGCCAGAGCCCAAGUGGGGAUUGGCAGAGCCCACAUACUCCCUCAGAAGCCACGGGGACUCUCCUGUCAUUGCAGCAGCCCACAAGAAAGUGGUAGCUUAUAAAAUCCCAUUACUUGGUUUUGACUCAAACUAGUCAGACCAGCUCAGAAGACAAACUUCCUUCCUCACUCUCCGUGCCCUUCUGGUUUCUCGUUAAGGGGAAAAAAAAAAAAUGCCGUCUGCGCCCAUCUUCCUUCACUGAACUCUCAACAGAACACUGACCGAGUUUUCUUAUGAACACAAGACAGAGUUGGAAGGGCACAGAGUUCCCAUCUUUCACUUUCUGCACGGAGGACAUCUCUAAAAUCAUCCGCCAAGUCAUAGAUGACUGUUACGUCAAGCUCGAGCUUACCUCAUUUCCUGCGGCCGACCUGCUGGCUGGUCCAUUGACUGCGGGCAAAUUCUAGAGCGGCGUACCCUCCAAGAUGCCUGGGCAUGGAGACCGUCUCCAGGAAUGCGCCGGUGGUUUGGUGGGAAGCUGUCUCUGAAUUGGCUGUGAGGAAAUCUAAAUAAACUGCACAGGUG